rnacentral:rRNA from 1 species
UACGUAGGGUGCGAGCGUUAAUCGGAAUCACUGGGCUUAAAGCGUGCGUAGGCGGAUGCGCAGGCGUCGUGUGAAAGCCCUCGGCUCAACCGAGGAAUUGCACGGCGAACCGCGCGUCUUGAGACAAGUAGGGGCGGUCGGAACGAUAGGUGGAGUGGUGAAAUGCGUUGAUAUCUAUCGGAACGCCAAAGGUGAAGACAGACCGCUGGGCUUGUUCUGACGCUGAGGCACGAAAGCGUGGGGAGCAAACGGG